rnacentral:rRNA from 1 species
CGGGGUGCACCAGGCGCGAAAACUUUACAAUGCCGGCAACGGCGAUAAGGGGACCUCGAGUGCCAGGUUACAAAUCUGGCUGUCGUGAUGCCUAAAAAGCAUUGCAUAGCAAGGGCCGGGCAAGACCGGUGCCAGCCGCCGCGGUAACACCGGCGGCUCGAGUGGUAACCGUUAUUAUUGGGUCUAAAGGGUCUGUAGCCGGCCGGAUAAGUCUCUUGGGAAAUCUGGCAGCUUAACUGUCAGGCUUUCAGGAGAUACUGUCUGGCUCGAGGCCGGGAGAGGUGAGAGGUACUUCAGGGGUAGGGGUGAAAUCUUGUAAUCCUUGAAGGACCACCAGUGGCGAAGGCGUCUCACCAGAACGGACCUGACGGCAAGGGACGAAAGCUAGGGGCACGAACCGGAUUAGAUACCCGGGUAGUCCUAGCCGUAAACGAUACUCGCUAGGUGUCGGCCACGGUGCGACCGUGGUCGGUGCCGUAGGGAAGCCGUGAAGCGAGCCACCUGGGAAGUACGGCCGCAAGGCUGAAACUUAAAGGAAUUGGCGGGGGAGCAC